UACGGAGGGUGCAAGCGUUAUCCGGAUUCACUGGGUUUAAAGGGUGCGUAGGCGGGCAGGUAAGUCAGUGGUGAAAUCCCCGAGCUUAACUUGGGAACUGCCGUUGAUACUAUCUGUCUUGAAUGCUGUGGAGGUGAGCGGAAUAUGUCAUGUAGCGGUGAAAUGCUUAGAUAUGACAUAGAACACCAAUUGCGAAGGCAGCUCGCUACACAGUUAUUGACUCUGAGGCACGAAAGCGUGGGGAUCAAACAGG
rnacentral:rRNA from 1 species